rnacentral:rRNA from 1 species
AUAUUGGACAAUGGGCGCAAGCCUGAUCCAGCCAUACCGCGUGGGUGAAGAAGGCCGUCGGGUUGUAAAGCCCUUUUGUUGGGAAAGAAAAGCAGUCGGCUAAUACCCGGUUGGUAUGACGGUACCCAAAGACUAAGCACCGGCUAACUUCGUCCCAUACGCCGCGGUAAGACGAAGGGUGCAAGCGUUACUCAGAAUUACUGGGCGUAAAGCGUGCGUAGGUGGUUGUUUAAGUCUGUUGUGAAAGCCCUGGGCUCAACCUGGGAAUUGCAGUGGAUACUGGGCGACUAGAGUGUGGUAGAGGGUAGUGGAAUUCCCGGUGUAGCAGUGAAAUGCGUAGAGAUCGGGAGGAACAUCCAUGGCGAAGGCAGCUACCUGGACCAACACUGACACUGAGGCACGAAAGCGUGGGGAGCAAACAG